rnacentral:rRNA from 1 species
GAGUAACACGUGGGUGAUCUGCCUCGUACUUCGGGAUAAGCCUGGGAAACUGGGUCUAAUACCGGAUAUGACCUUCGGAUGCAUGUCUGAGGGUGGAAAGAUUUAUCGGUACGAGAUGGGCCCGCGGCCUAUCAGCUUGUUGGUGGGGUAAUGGCCUACCAAGGCGACGACGGGUAGCCGGCCUGAGAGGGCGACCGGCCACACUGGGACUGAGACACGGCCCAGACUCCUACGGGAGGCAGCAGUGGGGAAUAUUGCACAAUGGGCGAAAGCCUGAUGCAGCGACGCCGCGUGAGGGAUGACGGCCUUCGGGUUGUAAACCUCUUUCGACAGGGACGAAGCGCAAGUGACGGUACCUGUAGAAGAAGCACCGGCCAACUACGUGCCAGCAGCCGCGGUAAUACGUAGGGUGCGAGCGUUGUCCGGAAUUACUGGGCGUAAAGAGCUUGUAGGCGGUUCGUCGCGUCGUUCGUGAAAACUUGGGGCUCAACCCCAAGCUUGCGGGCGAUACGGGCGGACUAGAGUACUUCAGGGGAGACUGGAAUUCCUGGUGUAGCGGUGAAAUGCGCAGAUAUCAGGAGGAACACCGGUGGCGAAGGCGGGUCUCUGGGAAGUAACUGACGCUGAGAAGCGAAAGCGUGUGUAGCGAACAGGAUUAGAUACCCUGGUAGUCCACGC